rnacentral:lncRNA from 7 species
GUGGCUAGGGAAGAGGCGGAGCUCUGGUCCUUGACUGGAGCCAAGGCCCUGUCUUUCCUCCAAGUCGAUGAGUUGCUGGCUUAAAACAGCGCUGUGGGUCGUGUUUUCUCCGUGUUAGUCGGUGAUCCUUAGUUUCUAGUGUUGAGGUGUAAUGUGUGUGAUGUAAUGGGGUUCUCUCCCCCUUUCUUCUUCUUCUAUUAAUACAAAGAUGUGCAACUCUCCUGCGUAUUCCAGAAAAAAACUAGUCCGUGCACAGCCUAUGAGGAUAUUUGGAAUUCUUGUUAUAUUUUACACUACUAAUCUUGUCUUGUAUGCCCCAACUUAGGUACAUGUCCAUCUGUUUAUGUUGUAACAUCUGAGUUUUUUUAGGGGAGUGACAUCUGAUAUUUUGAAAUAAAAUAUUUUAUAUAUUGUGGAUUUUUUCAACUGUAUCCAUAAGUCUGUGAAUAUGCCUUUUUAGAGGGGCCAUUCUUUAUUUUUUGUUCAUGAACGAAAAAAGUUUGCCAAGCUGCACGUAGGUAAUGAAUAUUGAUUUGUUUUCAGUCUGCUGUAACUUUUCUGAAAUUAUUUUGGCAGCACAG